AGUGAACGCUGGCGGUAGGCCUAACACAUGCAAGUCGAACGGCAGCACAGUAAGAGCUUGCUCUUACGGGUGGCGAGUGGCUGACGGGUGAGGAAUACAUCGGAAUCUACUUUUUCGUGGGGGAUAACGUAGGGAAACUUACGCUAAUACCGCAUACGACCUACGGGUGAAAGCAGGGGAUCUUCGGACCUUGCGCGAUUGAAUGAGCCGAUGUCGGAUUAGCUAGUUGGCGGGGUAAAGGCCCACCAAGGCGACGAUCCGUAGCUGGUCUGAGAGGAUGAUCAGCCACACUGGAACUAAGACACGGUCCAGACUCCUACGGGAGGCAGCAGUGGGGAAUAUUGGACAAUGGGCGCAAGCCUGAUCCAGCCAUACCGCGUGGGUGAAGAAGGCCUUCGGGUUGUAAAGCCCUUUUGUUGGGAAAGAAAAGCAGCAGGUUAAUACCCCGCUGUUCUGACGGUACCCAAAGAAUAAGCACCGGCUAACUUCGUG
rnacentral:rRNA from 1 species